rnacentral:rRNA from 1 species
GUCAGCAUAUCACCCUGAAUAUACUUGAUACCAUGUGUUUUCAGAAGUUAAGCAGGGUCAGGCCUGCUUAGUAUUUGAGUGGGAGAUCACCAUGGAAUAACCGGAGAUC